CGCACAUUGCGCCCGCUAGUAUUCUGGCGGGCAUGCCUGUCUGAGCGUCAUUUCAACCCUCGCCCCCGGCUUCUUGCCGGGAGCGGUGUUGGGGAUCGGCCGCCCGUCACUGGGAGGCCGGCCCCGAAAUAGAGUGGCGACCACGCCGUGUGCUCCUCUGCGUAGUAGUAAAUCACCUCGCAGGCGGACAGCGGUGCGGCCUGCCGUAAAACCCCCAACUCUUUCUAUGGUUGACCUCAGAUCAGGUAGGAAUACCCGCUGAACUUAA
rnacentral:misc_RNA from 1 species